GCCUCCGUCCUCGGCCCGCGUCGGCCCGUGUCGGCCCGGGCUCGGGUGCCGGGCCCCUGGCGUUCGUCUUAGUUCUGUGAGACGCAGCUGGGUGAGCUCGAGGAUGGGACUCAGCCAUUCCCCGCGGGCAGCGUCCCGCCCCGCCAGUGAAGAAAUAAAGAUGCAAUAUAAACAAGACUUCUGGCACUCACUUCGGCAGCACGUAUACUAAGCAAGACUUCUACUCUUUGCUCUUCAAUAAAGGAAACCUGUAUAUUUCAAAACAAAAUGAAAGUGCCCCUUGGAGGCUUUAUAAGUAAAUUUCCUCCAUACACCUGAGGUCAGCGAUCUGUGCAGCCGGGGUUCCAGCAUAAUCACCGUUACUAUUACUACUAAUAAUGGCAUUAGUAGGGCUGCCUGUGAUGGACCACUCACCGUGCUGGCAGCUUUACCACUUGGUCUCCUUCAUUCCUCGCACAGCCCCAGGGGCAGGUAUGUGCAAUAGCCUCAUUUAAAAAAGGGGCACUUAGCACAGAGAGGUUAAGGGACUCACCGGAGGCUACACAGCUGGUAGUAGCAGUGCCAGGAUCCUAUCAGAGCCAGGCCCUUCUCACCACCCACUGCAGGGCUUGCAACAGCCCGAACUCCAAAACCAUCCUCAUAACAGAGGUGUGUCCUUCGACAAGCCAGGGGUUGAGGCUGGUGUGUGGCUGCAGGAUACUCCAUCUGGUCAAAAUGAGGACUAGCAGGACGCCUGAGUGGCUUAGCGGUUUAGCUCCUGCCUUCGGCCCAGGGGGUGAUCCUAGGGUCCCGGGAUCGGGUCCCACAUUGGGCUCCCUGCGUGGAGCCUGCUUCUACCUCUGCCUGUGUCUCUGCCUCUCUCUCUCAUGAAUAAGUAAAAUCUUAAAAAAAAAAAAAAAAUGAGGACUAGCAAAAGGAGGGGUUAGUCACCUUCUUAAAACAAAAACCCUGCAAUAAUGGCCAUGUUUAUUAAGCACAUCGCCCUCUGUUGUAGGAUAGUUUCCCUAAGUAUCACCAUAGAUCUCUAACCCCACAGGGACUGGGCUUUGAUGUUCCCCCAUAAAAGAGCCCCAUAGCAAGUAACUUGGGAAAUGUUGCACCUUCCUCUGCCCCCCCAAGAUUCAAAGGACCUUUUAGAGGCUCUGAAAAUUCCUCUCGUGAAAAAAACUGGUUAAGCUUUGUCUAAUCCAGCAAUUCCUGAUCUUACUUGACCCCAGCACCCAUUUUCAUUAAAAGAGCCAUUGACCGGGGCACCUGGCCAGCUCAGUCGCUACAGCAUGCAACUCUUGAUCUCACGGUCAUGAGGGUCAUGAGCCAUGCCCACACUGGGCAUGGAGCCUACUUAAAAAAAAAAAAAAAAACACUGACAGCCCCAGGCCUCCAAAUUGCCAUGCACACUUGCCUGUGCCAUACUGGGGGCAACAUGCUUUGCAGUACAGGGUCUUGCUUUGUUUUGUCUUCACUCUAGGUGAGGAAUGGAAGUGCAGGGAGGCUCGAUGUCUUACUCGUGGUCCUCUGCUUGCUCAACUUAGAAAACAGUAGGGGCGCCUGGCUGGCUCAAUCAGUAGGGCAUGCGACUCGAUCUCGGGGUCACAAGUUCAAGCCCCACAUUGAGUACAGAGAUUAACUUAAAAAUUAAAUCUUAAAAAAUAAAUACUAGAGUUUUCAACAUAGAGAAACACCAACUGAUGUCAAACUUAAAAGAAAAACUGACUGGCAGUGCCAGGAGAUGCCAGCAGCUGCUGAGAUAGUAUUAUAACAUCUUCUGAUAAGCCAUUUUAUGUCGUAUCCCUUUUAGGGUGAAGAAGGGUUUUGUCUUGUCAAUAAAAAUGUACACGUGUUCCCCUGCCUCCACUCAUGGUGAAAGUGACCAUUGCACUGAAGUCAAACAAAAUCCUAACCUAGCAGGACACUGUGUCCUGUGCUUUGCACCUCACCAGACCCAGGGCAUUCUGCUGGAAUUUUGUGGUUGUCUCUGUAAAAUUUUACAUUCUUUGAAGUAGGAGGUUCUUUCUUCCAAGUAAACACUUGUAUGCUUAACCUGAGCAGGUUUUUGGAUGGUCGUGUGGUUGCUUUAGGCCAGCAGUAGGCUUCCCUCAGCAAGAAGGAAGGAGAUUCAGCCUCUGCCCAUCCCGAGGUCCUGGGGUGAAAGAUCUUAUGGAAUUUUUGAAAAAGAUUUUGGUUGUUUUUUUGAGAGAGCACAAAGGGCAGAGGGAGAGGGAGAAGCAGACUCCCACUGAGCAGGGAGCUAGAUGCAGGACUCAAUCCUAGGACCCUGGGAUCAUGACCUGAACAGAAGGCAGAUGCUUAAUGGACUGAACCCCCAGGCACCCCAUAUCUUAUGGAAUUAAAUAAAAUUGAGUAAAUAUCUACCAGAGCCUAUUCAGUUUCUAGCCCAACACUGCCCUGCUGGCAAGGAGGGAAAGUCAACGAGGGCAGCAAGCAGCUAUAGACACCCCCGCACACACUCCCCUCACUCCCCACAGGGAUGGAGAGGAACAGGACCAGAGCCCUGGAGUUUGGGGAUCAGGGGCUGGGGCCUGCAAUUACACUGAGAAGCCACUAGGUGUCAGGAUGCCUCUGGCUUGGGCCGGGUCCCCGCAGGCUGACAGCGGCACCUGUUCCUCUAAGCACCCUCAGAUCACGGUUUGCACCAAGUUCAUCCUCUGUAGAUGGAAAACAAGCUCAGGGAGCAGGUGCUGGUCAACAUUUGGGAGAGAGGGAGGGAGCACUGGAGGCUGGCCCAAGCCUGGUGCUACACUGGGGAAUGGUAAAAUGACGGAACAGGAUCCAGCCCGUGCCCUUCUAGGGGUUUACAGUCUCCAGGCAAGGACAGUAUCUGAGUCUGAACCCCUGCUCCACCUCGUUACCUGUGAGACCUUAAACAACUACUUCUGCUCUGAACCUGCUACCUCCACGUCCUCCCAACUGCAGCAGUAAUAACCUCCCAUCUCUAGUGCUGUGAAUGUACCGGUUCGGACCGGCCAGCUCAUCACAGUGGUGCCACAGCCCAGGCAUCACGGGCACGACUCCAGCCACAGACUCAGGGGUGCGGGCAAUCCCACGGACUCCAUUCCUGUAACAGCCUCGCUUCUGACCCAAGCCUCACAUUCCACGAUGCCAUGGGCAACGCACCACGGACGCCAGUUUCAGAGUCCUGCCCCCUUCCUAAGUCAGGACUCAUGCAGGGAUAGGGCCCUGUGGGGUGCCUGCUGCCACGGCCUAUCUGUCCACACUGGUCAUUGCCGCCCCCAUGGGGUCCCACACUCCAGUGCUGUCUGCAGCCUUGCUGGGCAUGUGGGCCUCUUUGGGCAGCCUGCCUGCUAGGGUCCUGUCACCUGGGUGCCAUACCCCUCCUGCAUCAUUCGCUGGGCACUGGAGGCAGCAGGCCCAGAACCUCCUCACUCCAGACCAGGGGAAUGUCCCCGUGGUCCAAGAUGCUUCAUCAACCCUGCUUCUCCAGGACACCUUGCCCACAAGGAAGACGACACCAGUUCUGCUGUCCCUCUUCCAUUCCCCUUUGUUCUCCUAAGGGCUGGGGUUUGGGGGAAAUAAAAACAAAGUUCAAAAGAUCCACAGGCCCCUUCUGCUUCAGCCCCAGGCCAAGAAGUCCCCCUUGAAUGCAGAGAAGGAAAAGCAAGAAGGGGGGGGCAGGAUUUCAAUAUACGUGGUCCCUGCUCUGCAUGGUUCCAAUACGCAGAAAUUUUCAUUACUACGGUCUAAUAAGAUCACAUUAGUCCCCCAACAACUCAGUUCAAGUACCAGCUACCCUGUGUCUUAACCGAGUAGCUGCCCCGGGUACAGACUUCGGGGAGCUCUCCAGCAUGCAGAUCACUCCAUGAAUGACAGCCGUGCAUCGUGAUCAGCGACUGUCUGGCGCUUCUUGCAAAGUCCGUGGGUCACUGGUCACCACGCGUGCUCCUCGGUUCCCACACAGCCAGCGAAGUCGGUAGGUGUGCCACCGUCCGUGACAAAUACACUUGAUAUUUUACCGAAGUGCAUCCCGGAAGCAGGGACCUGGCUGUCCCAGGUGAGAGAGCAGCGAGGAAGAGGAGUGUUAACCCUGGAGGUCACAAUCGGGGUCCCAGAAGAAAGCGCCGCCGAGGGGCGUGGAUGCGAGCGGCCAGAGGAGCCUGGCGAGGCCCACGCCACGAGAAGGACCGUGUCCCGAGCCAGUGACAUCGGGAAGACUUCACACCGAAGGAGCCCUCAGAGAUGCUUCCCACGGCUCCAAGAGCACAGGCAACGCUGGAGCUGAUCUCAACCCGGGAGGGCCGGUGACAGCUGGGAAAGGCCCAGAAGAGAUGCUCGCAGCGCAUCCUAGGUUACACCACGGAACAGGCAAGCCCUGCUCAUACUGCUCCUGGUAAGUUUUUUUUCUUAUAAUUGUGGUUAAAUCCUCGUAGUAUGCAGUGCACCACCUUAACUGCUUCCAAGUGGCCAGUUCUGUGGCAUCAGGUACGUUCACACCGCUGGGCAAACAGGGACUGCUCCACAGACUUGUGUGUCCAUGUUGUGCAGAGACACGCUCAUCUUUCUGGGUCGUUCCGAUUUUACCACCUGUGCUGCUUUCAAACAAAGAAAUAAGCACCAUCACUCUCAAUGCCUCUGAUAUUUUAAGUUAGAGUGUACUAAAUAAAUAUUAGUUUUACUGUU